rnacentral:rRNA from 1 species
GCUAUCUACAGGCUUAACACAUGCAAGUCGAGGGGCAGCAUCAUCAAAGCUUGCUUUGAUGGAUGGCGACCGGCGCACGGGUGAGUAACACGUAUCCAACCUGCCGACAACACUGGGAUAGCCUUUCGAAAGAAAGAUUAAUACCGGAUGGCAUAGUUUUCCCGCAUGGGAUGACUAUUAAAGAAUUUCGGUUGUCGAUGGGGAUGCGUUCCAUUAGGCAGUUGGCGGGGUAACGGCCCACCAAACCUACGAUGGAUAGGGGUUCUGAGAGGAAGGUCCCCCACAUUGGAACUGAGACACGGUCCAAACUCCUACGGGAGGCAGCAGUGAGGAAUAUUGGUCAAUGGACGAGAGUCUGAACCAGCCAAGUAGCGUGAAGGAUGACUGCCCUAUGGGUUGUAAACUUCUUUUAUACGGGAAUAAAGUUAGCCACGUGUGGCUUUUUGUAUGUACCGUAUGAAUAAGGAUCGGCUAACUCCGUGCCAGCAGCCGCGGUAAUACGGAGGAUCCGAGCGUUAUCCGGAUUUAUUGGGUUUAAAGGGAGCGUAGGCGGGUUGUUAAGUCAGUUGUGAAAGUUUGCGGCUCAACCGUAAAAUUGCAGUUGAUACUGGCGACCUUGAGUGCAACAGAGGUAGGCGGAAUUCGUGGUGUAGCGGUGAAAUGCUUAGAUAUCACGAAGAACUCCGAUUGCGAAGGCAGCUUACUGGAUUGUAACUGACGCUGAUGCUCGAAAGUGUGGGUAUCAAACAGGAUUAGAUACCCUGGUAGUCCACACAGUAAACGAUGAAUACUCGCUGUUGGCGAUAUACAGUCAGCGGCCAAGCGAAAGCAUUAAGUAUUCCACCUGGGGAGUACGCCGGCAACGGUGAAACUCAAAGGAAUUGACGGGGGCCCGCACAAGCGGAGGAACAUGUGGUUUAAUUCGAUGAUACGCGAGGAACCUUACCCGGGCUUAAAUUGCAACUGACUGAACCGGAAACGGUUCUUUCUUCGGACAGUUGUGAAGGUGCUGCAUGGUUGUCGUCAGCUCGUGCCGUGAGGUGUCGGCUUAAGUGCCAUAACGAGCGCAACCCUUACGGGUAGUUACCAUCAGGUUAUGCUGGGGACUCUACCCGGACUGCCGUCGUAAGAUGUGAGGAAGGUGGGGAUGACGUCAAAUCAGCACGGCCCUUACGUCCGGGGCUACACACGUGUUACAAUGGGGGGUACAGAAGGCAGCUACACGGCGACGUGGUGCUAAUCCCGAAAGCCUCUCUCAGUUCGGAUUGGAGUCUGCAACCCGACUCCAUGAAGCUGGAUUCGCUAGUAAUCGCGCAUCAGCCACGGCGCGGUGAAUACGUUCCCGGGCCUUGUACACACCGCCCGUCAAGCCAUGAAAGCCGGGGGUACCUGAAGUACGUAACCGCGAGGAGCGUCCUAGGGUAAAACUGGUGAUUGGGGCU